GGUGCAAAGCCUAAGGGGUGGGGCUCCAAACCCAACUCCCCGACGCUGCGCUCUUUCUUCUCCAUCGUUUCCGUCUCUCACCCAGGUCACCAGCAUCCCCUGAAACUCCUGAAGGUUCUCGUGAAGGUUAGAACGACAAGAUAGAGUGAGAGAUCGCCACAGUUCGCCGAUCACUAGUAUUUCGUUCUUCGCCGGAGAACGACGAACACUCGAUCGCUCGGAGGAAACCACCACCGCCGACGAACGACAAGAUCAGUGACUGCAUUCGCAAUUCCAGAGUCUUCUCAUGUCGCUUUAAUUAUCAUGUCCUUGAAACCAUAUGCAUGUCAGCUUGCUUGUUUUCUAGUGGUGUUCAAGAGCAUGCAAAUUAGUCUCUCUCAUACAGUCAUAUUAAAAUAUGUAUGAUUGAUCUAAGCUUGACCAAUCGAUCACGCGAUCUGAAUUUGAUAUCAUGUUUGUGGGUUGCAGGGUCGAAGGAAGUGCGAUGUUGCUGCCACUGCUUGCUUUGUUUGUCGCAGCUCUCGUUCCAAUUGACGGAGUAUUGGCCUCCACUGUCCCCGCAUUCAUUUGGCCAUCCCAUUAUAAUUUUUUGGUAUCAAGAACAAGAACAGUGAAGUUCAGUUAAAGUUUGCAAAUGUUAUACUGGUUGAUGCGGAUGGAAACCAGAAAAGAAGAUGAUGCUCCUUGCAGCGAAGUCAAAGAAGAAAUUCAUUUAACUGCUUCUCAUGUGAAAAUUGCAGUGGGUGCAGGACAUUCAUCUGGGGUCUAAGCUUCUGCGAAAGAGCUGGAAGGGAGUAUGGAGGUCUAGAUUUUCCUGUGCUCAUUUUAACUGCUACCAGGUUCAGCAGAGCUGCAUCAACUGUGGUGUUUGCAUGAGCAAGUACUUUAGUGAGACAUGUAUCUAAGCAGCAGUACCAUUGCAGUGGCUGCGGAAUUUGCACGUAUGAACUGUUAAUAAGUUAACUAUAUAAGUUAUCUGAAAUAUCAAGCCCUUUGAUAUCAAGUCAGUUUGUGACAUGUCAAAGGUUUGGGAGAAAUUUGACUUGGAGAUUGCUGCUACACCAAUGCCUGAACCAUACCUUAGGAUUAUCUGUAAGCUAUGGGCUUCAUUCCCUUGCUUAUUGGACUUCAUUAGCAUAUAUGCAAGAAUUGAGCUUAAACGUGCUAAAGCUUUGGUCCAAGUCCUUACUUGAAAGAGCCUGUCAAACAAAUUGAGGACACAACUCAAAGGUUAGAUGCAUUCCUUUCACAACGCAAUUAAGUUUUCCUUAAUCUGGAGCCCGUGGUGAUUUUUCGAUAAAUUGUGGUGCUUUGCCGCUAUUUGGCAUUAAUGUUUCCUAGCUUGUUUGGUGUUGUUACAUGAAGUUUAAAAUCUAAUUUGUAGAGUAGUUUUAGUGUUUAUACUUCCAUGGUUUUCUGCUACUCUAGUUCUGAAACUAUACAAGGUAAUGAAUUGAGUGGUAAGAGCAUUAGUGCUCGUGUAAGUUUUAUGCAAGUAGGAAUUUGUGUUGCAAGUUCUAUUUUUUGGCA